rnacentral:lncRNA from 1 species
UUGCUUGUUGCAUCUAGAUAUUUUUAUGAUGUGGUUCAUUUAGGUGUUUAAACUCUCUAUUGAACAUAGUGUAAGAAAGCUACAAGAACAAAUUUGGACCACGAAAGCGGAUGUGGCCACUGGCCAAACACGUCCUCAACUUGGCCCACUCAAGGUACUAAAUAUUAGCCGAUAUGUAUCUAAAUUUUGACAUUUUGAUAUGAAUAUUUUAGUAAAUAUCAAUCCAGACAGUCUGAUAUAAGCCGAUACAAGGCUAUAUUACCGAUACAAUUACUGAUACUGCGAUUUAGGCUGUCCAUUUAACCAACUCUAUAAUUGAAAAAGAGGAGAAGAAGAAAAAAAAACGUAAAAGAAUAGUGGCAAUGCUGUUAUGUCUAGAAGUUCACUCAAAGGGAGAGAACACAAGAAAUUUCCAUCUCCAUCGCAGAACCUAUUUCUUUGAUGGCAUAUCUACACUAAGUUCUAUAGUAAAGUGUUUUGAGUUCACACCUCUUUAGAGUUUCUGAAAAAUAAAAAUGCCACCUGGCUUUUUUUUAGAUCUCCUCUCUCAUAAGAAAGAAUUGCUAAAUAAUGAACUAAAAAUAAAACACUACGUGGAUGUUUGAUAACUGUUUUAUUUUAAUUUUUUUAUUUUUAUUUUGUUUAAUUUAUAAAUAAAAAUAGAAAACUUGUUUGUGUUGCAAAAAAUAAAUAAAAAUAAAGCAAAAUUAAUUGCACUAUUUUUGAAAAUAGUAAAAACAAGAAAAAGUUAUUUUUGUUUUGUUUACAAAAAAAUUUGGAUGAAUUUUUUUUGUAAAUUUUUCCAAUCACCUCAACCGCCUCCGCCUCCGCCUCCUUCACCACCACCACCACCGCCGCCGCCACCAUCUUUUUUUAAAAUAAUUUAAAAAUAGGUGAACACAAAUAUAUUUUUGUGUAAAAAUAAUUUAAAAAUAGGUGAACACAAACAUAUUUUUAGUUUCUGUUUUACAAAAAACAAAACAAAAGAAAAUAAAAAUUAAACAAAUACAAAAAAAAAUAGAAAAGUAAAAGUAAGAAAAGUUAUUUUUGUUUUGUUUAAAAAAAAAAAAUUCAUCCAAAUUUUUUCAAUCACCUCCGCCAUCACCUUCGCCACCACCAGCGCCACUUUCAUCUCCGCUACCAUCACCUCCUCCACCGCCACCGCUACUUUUUUUUUUAAAUAGUUUCAGAAAAUGUGAACACAAAUAUAUUUUUAUUUUUAAAUAUUUUAAAAAUAGGUGAACACAAACAUAUUUUUUAUUUUUAUUUUAUAAAAAACAAAACAAAACAAAAAUUAAAUAAACACAAAAAAUAGAAAAAUAAAAACGUUAUCAAACAUCCUCUACGUGUUCCAAACCAGUCAAAUCGCUACGCAUCCGAAUGACCCAUAGUCAAUUUCUAGGGUUUUCAUUUCAGCUGCAUACCCAUGGGUGAAUGGAUGAUCUAAGAGAUGUGAAUGGCUCGGGUUUUCAUUUCUCGGGGUUAUCGGCUUGAAUUUUUUGCUUUUUAUUAACCAGGUUAUUAGAUUUAUUUUGAUUGUCAUGUUUUUUAUUUCUUAUUUUCCAGCUGUGUAUUAUAACUGAGUUAUGUAUAUUUUGCUGAAAUGAAGAAAUGAACAACAUCUGAAAUGAAGAAAUGAACAACAUUAGAAGAAUAUGGAACAUGUUGAAUUUGUAGAGUCCAUGAGCCAGGUCCCUUUUCAUGGACUGGGGCUAGAUCCAUUUUCUCUGCUACUCAUUCUGCAGGUGGAGUUCACCAUAUAAAUAAAUAAUUAAGGCCCCGUUUGGCCCAAAAAAGUUUUUGAGAUAUUUUAGUUGCUUUGAUUUUUGAGAUUUUUUCGCUUCUAGUAAAUUUUUUUAAUCGUUUGAUCAAAAUUUUAUAUUUUGUUGUUCUUUUUAACGAGAAAAGUCUGAAAAUAUAAAAAUCUUUAUCUAAUUUAGAAAGAUGUUCACGAAAGUGAAAAAAGUAACACUUUUUUACUUGAUAAAUUAGCUAAAUUUUUAUCUUUUAAUAGAUUUCUUAUUCCAAAUUUAAACAAUCUUUUUUCAUUUUCGGAUUUUCUCGUCAAUAAGAAAAGAAAAAGUAUAUUUUUUUUCUUAAACAGAGAAAAAGUUCACAAAAAGAUGGAAAAAUUUCAAAAUCAAGCACCUAAAAAUCUAGAUUGUAUGAAUCUAUAAUAAAAACUGUUAAAACAAUUUUUAAUUAAAAAUAAUAUAUUUCUUCUUUUAAAAUGGAGAACUGGAUCGAAGAUUCUUAUAAGUAGCUUCGAACUUAUUUCAUCUAAUACCAUCAUACACAAAAAGUUACGUACAUGUUUGGCAAAAUUUUAAAGCAUCAACUUCUGCUUUUUAGUUUUAAAAUUUGUUUCAAAAUGUUUAAUAAAACUUCUGUUUAUGGAUUAAAAAUAAUUUAUAAAGCUAAAAAAGAGUUGAUUUUUGAAAGUUUUAUUUUAAAAAAUUUUAACUUCUAUUUUUAAGUAAAUAAUUUUAACAUAAGUUGA